AUCUAGUUGACGAGUCCUAAAUAGGACGAAAUGCGCUUUAUCCUGGAU
rnacentral:hammerhead_ribozyme from 1 species